rnacentral:rRNA from 1 species
GACGAGGGGUCCAAGCGUUGUUCGGAAUUAUUGGGCGUAAAGCGCGUGUAGGUGGUUAGUUAAGUCGAUUGUAAAAGCCCUCGGCUCAACCAAGGAAGUGCAGUCGAAACUAGCUAACUAGAGGACGGUAGAGGAAGGUGGAAUUCCAAGUGUAGAGGUGAAAUUCGUAGAUAUUUGGAGGAACACCGGCGGCGAAGGCGGCCUUCUGGACCGUUCCUGACACUGAGACGCGAAAGCGUGGGGAGCAAACAGG